CCUGGUGGUUACAGCGAAGGGGCCACACCCGUUCCCAUUCCGAAUACGGUAGUUAAGCCCUUCUGCGCCGAUGGUACUACUCCGGCAACGGAGCGGGAGAGUAGGUCGCCGCCGGGA
rnacentral:rRNA from 1 species